GACGAACCGUGCGAACGUUAUUCGGAUUCAUUGGGCUUAAAGGGCGCGUAGACGGGUCGGCGCAUCGGGCGCUGAAAGCCCCCGGCUUAACCGGGGAACAGGGGCCGAGAUGGCCGGCCUCGAGUGGAGGAGGGGGACCUGGAACUGCCGGUGGAGCGGUGAAAUGCGUUGAUAUCGGCAGGAACGCCGACGGCGAAAGCGAGGUCCUGGACUCCCACUGACGUUGAGGCGCGAAAGCCAGGGGAGCGAACGGG
rnacentral:rRNA from 1 species